UAAGCAUAUCACUAAGCGGAGGAGAAGAAACUAACCAGGAUUUCCCUAGUAACGGCGAGCGAACCGGAAAGAGCCCAGCUUGAAAAUCGUGGUGCCUCGCACCUCGAGUUGUAGUCUGGAGAAGGUCCCUCUGCGACGCGCCGGACCCAAGUUCCCUGGAAAGGGACGUCAUCGAGGGUGAGAACCCCGUCCAAGUCCGAAACGCGUCGCUCCACGAGGACCUGUCUGCGAGUCGGGCUGUUUGGGAAUGCAGCCCUAAGCGGGUGGUAAAUUCCAUCCAAGGCUAAAUACUGGCAAGAGACCGAUAGCGAACAAGUACCGCGAGGGAAAGAUGAAAAGGACUUUGAAAAGAGAGUUAAAAAGUGCUUGAAAUUGCUGGGAGGGAAGCGAAUGGAAGCUGCGGGUGCGCCCCGGUUGGAUGUGGAACGGCUUCGGCUGGUCCGCCGCUCAACGCGGGGCGCUGGUCAGCGUGGGCCGUCGCGCCGGGACAAGAGCGGGGAUUCGCUUCCCGCCUAUGCCGGUGCGGUGGCCGAGGAACGAAGCGUGCGCCUCUUUCGGCGUGGGUUCGCCCAACUGCGCGCUCGGGACGCUGGCGUAUUGAGCUCUUCAUCCGACCCGUCUUGAAACACGGACCAAGGAGUCUAACAUGUAUGCGAGCCGGUGGGCGGCAAACCCAUUGAGGCGCAAGGAACCUGACAGGUGGGACCCCGACCGCGAGGGAGGGAGCACCAUCGACCGACCGUGAUCUUCUGUGAAAGGUUUGAGUGGGAGCAUACCUGUUGGGACCCGAAAGAUGGUGAACUAUGCCUGAGCAGGGCGAAGCCAGAGGAAACUCUGGUGGAGGCUCGUAGCGAUACUGACGUGCAAAUCGUUCGUCAGACUUGGGUAUAGGGGCSAAAGACUAAUCGAACCAUYUAGUASCUGGUUCCCUCCGAAGUYUCCCUCAGGAUARCUGGAGCUCGUGUAAAAGUUUUAUCAGGUARASCGAAUGAUUASAGGCAUCGRGGGUGUAACACCCUCGACCUAUUCUCAAACUUUAAAUAGGUAAGCCGCCGGGGUUGCUUGGUUGAACCCUGGCACAGAAUGAGAG
rnacentral:rRNA from 1 species